AAUCUGUUAUUUUUUCAUUUUCCUCAGUUUCUCGCUAAACCCACACGACCUCCCAAAAUUCUAGCUUGCUUGCCUUUUACUGCGGCAAUCGCCGUGCCUUCUUCUUCUUCUUCUUCUUCAACCGCGCCGCCACUUCUCUGAGCCCCCAUUAACGAAACUGUCAAUCCCCAAUACCCCACGAACCCAAUCAAUGAUUCAGCAAAACCCAUCCGAUCCCACCCAUGUCUGCUCUGUUCAAAGGCUCCUCUUUCUGUCUCUCUCUUCCCGAGAACUCUAUCCGUGUCGCCUCAAUCUUUAAAACGCCAUAGCAAACCCAGAAAGCCUCUGGAUGUUCUGUUCAAAGGGGCAGUACAGCGAAAGAGAAAAAGUGCAGCGAGAAUUCUCAAGGUCGGAGGAGGAGCAUUUACGAUGUGGAAUUGUUUGUUUCAUCUGUACAAAGAAGGCUACUUCAGGGAUGCAAAUUUCUUGCGCAGGAGUAGUAAUGGUUAUUUGGAUUUUAGCUGUUUCGAGGAUAGCAAUGGCCGUGCAUUUAUAAAGUUUGCUGUCGAAAAAGUUUCCCAAAGACAAUUAGGAAAUGGCCAAAAGUUUGUAGUAAACGUGUGCUAAAACAUUUGUGCAAGUGUGUGAAUCAGAAUGUUUGGAGGGCCAAACAUCAAGAAUUGAAUUUGACAGAUGCUGUGAAUGAAAUCACUUUGUGUGCUUUUGAUGCUGUGCCUUCGCUGCUGGUUGUGCCUGAUGAACUAAAAGCUUCUACUGGUGAGUUGCUUAAAGAGGUGUUGAAGCUUAGUCAAACAAUUUCAUAAAGCCAGUUCAUUGUGUUCACAAAUUGCUCAGAGCAUGCCAUAAACCUCCCGAUAAGGAUAUCUGCAAGGUCACCCCGGUGGAAAAACUAACAGCACUAGGCCUCUAAGGGCAGCAAAAUUCUGGUACUCCGGGAGGGACGAGAUGGAUUCUGUUGCAAGUUCAAAAUCUGGAAAUAAUGGCACCAUUGUUGAAGGUGUGUGUAUAACUUUGACUUGCUAUAUAUUUAUAUGUUACUAUUAUACAACUAGCUAUUUAUAAAUUGUAUGUAUAGUCUCUCUCCUCCCUCUCUCUAUCUCUCUCUCUCUCUCUCUCUCUUCCCCCCCCCCCCCCCCCCCCCCCCCCCCCUCUCCCCGAGCUUUCAUGCAUGACUGUGUAGUAGCAAUUAAUCUUUAGGCCUCAGGAAGAGUAGCAAUUUCUGUAUAAUUAGAGGUCUCUCAAAAGUAGUGAGUUUGGGAUAAAGAUGGAUAAUAUUUCUCCAUCUGGUUCAGCGUAUGCAUCUUUUUAUUUGAUGGAAAGUCAUUGAUCUAAGAAGUCCUUAAACAGAAUUUGUUGAACAACUGGUGUUGAUGAUGUUGACAGAGAUAAGAUGAGAUCUCUAGGAUGCUUUCUCAUGAUCAGUUAAAAUAACUAACAUUUUUCUUAAAUUAACAUUUCAGUAACUGUAAGUGAUACACAUGUUUUUCUUAAAUUUGAAUUGAGAAUAUUCUAUAUUCUUGAACAAAAAAAAUCUUAAUUGUAAGAAGCUACACAAUUUGGUUCUCACCGAUGUUGAUAAUUCAUCUAAGAAUUUGUUAAUCUUGGUCUAAAUCAAGGCAGGCGGAAUUGCAAGGCACGUACUUUUGCUUGUGUAUUAUGGUUUUAGGUGAACUGCUUGAUGAACGUUGGAGGCUAUAUAUAUGUGUGUGUGUGUGUGUAGCAACAUUUUCAUUAGAAAUAUAUUUAAAUUUCUGGGUUUGAUCCAGACUGUGGCAAUCUAUUUAUCAGAAACAGAAAAACAAUACCUUACUCAUGAAGCGAUGACAUGAUUUUAAAAAAAUAAUUAAAAAAAAAAAAAAUGAAGAAUUGCAAAUCUUCAGUAUGCCAAAGAGUCGGGAUCGAACAGUUUCUUUAAUGUAACUGUAUGGAGGGGCUUUGAUAAUGAUGAUGGUAAUAAAAUUGACAGCUUCUCAGAAACUUGCUUCAUAGUUGUGCGAAAGUGUUGAAUUUGAUGCAGGCAUGAAAAUGCUGUCUCUGCAGUGCAGACAGCUUGGUCUUCUAAUUGCUUCAAUGGAGGUGAGAGACACUCAUCUAGCACAUCCUUAAGUAGGUUAUUGUUGAUCAAUAAAUUAGUUUCAUAUAUAGUAAAUAUUACAUUGUUAAAUGAUUGUGAGUCACAAAACCAAACAUAGUGCAUAUUAAAAAAAAAAAAAAAAAAAUUAUAUCCAGGGAAAAAAAAUAAAUUGUUGUAUCUUAUCGAUCGCACUGUUAGUACUCAAGCAAUAUAAAAGUUAAAUUGAAAAAAGAGAAGAAAUUCAACAAUUUCAGUUCAAGUGAUGAAUAUAUACCCAUUUCUUCUUGUUAAAAAUCAACAAUUUGGUUUUUAAAGAUGUUGAUUAUUCAUUCAAGAAUUUGUUAGUCUUGGUUUAAAUCAAAACAGGGGAAUUGCACGGCAAGUAAUCAUGCUGGUGUGGCUUUGUAGUUAUCUAAUUGAAUAUUAACAGUGUGGCUACUUGUAGUGAGCUGACGGUGUGUUGCAUUUGUCGCUCUCGAUUAAUUAUAAAUCAGACACAGCUUUGAGGAUAUGGUCGUGAGCAUGUAUUAUAAGAGAUAUUAACAUUGGUAGUUUUGAGAAUUUUCAGUAAACCGCUAUGAGGAUAGGAGGCUAUUUAUUAAUAUAUAACCUUCUUUUAUCAGCUAUUUUAUCAACAUUUUGAUUAGAAAUAUAUUUGGAUUUGUGUGUUUGAUACGGAAUAUGAAAAUCUAUAUUAGAAACAGAAAAACAAUACCAAGCAACGACAUGGAAGAGGGGAAAAAAAAAAAAAAAAAAAAAAAAAACUGAAGAAUUUGAAAUUCUUCAGUAUAUCAGAGUUUCGGGAUCAAACAGUUUCUCUAAUGUAAUUGCAUGAAAGGGCUCUGAUGAUGGUGAUGGUAAUAAAAUUGAUAGCUUCUGAGAAACUUGCUUCAUAGUUGGCCGAAGCUGUGGAAUUUGAUGCAGGCAUGAAAAUGCUAUUUCUGCAAUGCAGACAACUUGGUCUUCUAAGUGCUUCCAUGGAGGUGAGAGACGUUCAUCUAAUACAUCCUUAAGUAGAAUCUGAUCAGCGACCGCUAAUGGAGAUGUUGACAGAGACGAGAUGAGAUCUCCUGGAUGCUUUCCCAUAAUCACUUCCAAUGUCACAAUUCCGAAGCUGUACACAUCACUCUUUUCAUUUACUUCCAUUGUAUAAGAAAGCUCUGCAGAUAAUAUAUGUUCAAGUUAGUAAUCUUUUGCUAAUUUUUUUUUUUUUUAAAUGUAUCAUUUCUGUAAUUAAAAUGUUAUAAAUGGAAUGGAGACAAUAUGAGCUAGCCUGGUUGCAACUGA